GUAAAAUUUAUGCUUUGUGUCUUCCCCCAAACACUGGGAAAUUGUGCUUUUUCUUUCCUCCCAGAUAAAUCUUCUCUUUUCUCCAUCUAGGAAGUCCUUAUGAGAUUUCAGAAGCAAAACCAUACUAUGAGGAGGCAGCUACAGAAGACCAAAGGAGUUUCAUUUGUCAAGAAAAGAAAUCCUGUCCCUAUCCUCAGGACAGAAGUCAAUCUGUGAACAACUUGAAGCAUCAGUUUAAUAAACCAAGAGAGCUGACUCCAGACCCACUGUUCUACCCCUGUCCUCAUGCCAAUUCCAGGUACUUCUGGGCCUAAACCUCCCCUGUUUAGCAUGGUUUACUAUCACUGACACAAAAUACAACUUGCAUUUGAGUGUAUCCUGGGGAUGUGGUCCCAUCUGGAGUCUCCAUGUUUACUUUUGCGUUUUGGAUUAAACAUUGUUCUUAAAUGUUAGUUGGGAAUU
rnacentral:lncRNA from 1 species